UACAGAGGGUGCAAGCGUUACUCGGAAUUACUGGGCGUAAAGCGUGCGUAGACGGUUAUGUAAGUCAGAUGUGAAAGCCCCGGGCUCAACCUGGGAAUUGCAUUUGAGACUGCAUAGCUAGGGUGCGGAAGAGGGAAGCGGAAUUUCCGGUGUAGCGGUGAAAUGCGUAGAUAUCGGAAGAAACACCAGUGGCGAAAGCGGCUUCCUGGUCCAGCACCGACGUUCAGGCACGAAAGCGUGGGGAGCAAACAGG
rnacentral:rRNA from 1 species